GAUGAACGCUGGCGGCGUGCUUAACACAUGCAAGUCGAACGCACCUUCGGGUGAGUGGCGGACGGGUGAGUAACGCGUGGGAAUCUGCCCUCAGGAGGGGGAUAACGGCUGGAAACGGCCGCUAAUACCCCAUAUGCCGAGAGGUGAAAUGAAUUUCGCCUGAGGAUGAGCCCGCGUCUGAUUAGCUAGUUGGUGUGGUAAUGGCGCACCAAGGCUUCGAUCAGUAGCUGGUCUGAGAGGAUGAUCAGCCACACUGGGACUGAGACACGGCCCAGACUCCUACGGGAGGCAGCAGUGGGGAAUUUUCCGCAAUGGGCGAAAGCCUGACGGAGCAACGCCGCGUGGGGGAUGAAGGCCUCUGGGCUGUAAACCUCUUUUCUCAAGGAAGAAGAUCUGACGGUACUUGAGGAAUAAGCCACGGCUAAUUCCGUGCCAGCAGCCGCGGUAAUACGGGAGUGGCAAGCGUUAUCCGGAAUUAUUGGGCGUAAAGCGUCCGCAGGCGGCCUUGUAAGUCUGUCGUUAAAGCGUGGAGCUUAACUCCAUUUCAGCGAUGGAAACUACAAGGCUUGAGUGUGGUAGGGGCAGAGGGAAUUCCCGGUGUAGCGGUGAAAUGCGUAGAUAUCGGGAAGAACACCAGUGGCGAAGGCGCUCUGCUGGGCCAUAACUGACGCUCAUGGACGAAAGCCAGGGGAGCGAAAGGGAUUAGAUACCCCUGUAGUCCUGGCCGUAAACGAUGAACACUAGGUGUCGGGGGAAUCGACCCCCUCGGUGUCGUAGCCAACGCGUUAAGUGUUCCGCCUGGGGAGUACGCACGCAAGUGUGAAACUCAAAUGAAUUGACGGGGGCCCGCACAAGCGGUGGAGCAUGUGGUUUAAUUCGAUGCAACGCGAAGAACCUUACCAGCCCUUGACAUGGGAACUAUGGGUCCGAGAGAUUGGAUCCUUCACUUCGGGUGGGUUCCACACAGGUGCUGCAUGGCUGUCGUCAGCUCGUGUCGUGAGAUGUUGGGUUAAGUCCCGCAACGAGCGCAACCCUCAUCGUCAGUUGCCAUCAUUUGGUUGGGCACUCUGACGAAACUGCCGGUGACAAGCCGGAGGAAGGUGGGGAUGACGUCAAGUCCUCAUGGCCCUUACGGGCUGGGCUACACACGUGCUACAAUGGUGGUGACAAUGGGUCGCUAACUCGCGAGAGCAAGCUAAUCCCCAAAAGCCAUCUCAGUUCGGAUUGUACUCUGCAACUCGAGUGCAUGAAGUCGGAAUCGCUAGUAAUCGUGGAUCAGCAUGCCACGGUGAAUACGUUCCCGGGCCUUGUACACACCGCCCGUCACACCAUGGGAGUUGGCUUUACCCGAAGCCGGUGCGCUAACCUGUAAAGGAGGCAGCCGACCACGGUAAGGUCAGCGACUGGGGUG
rnacentral:rRNA from 1 species